rnacentral:tRNA from 2 species
AAUAAAGUGCCUGAUAAAAGGAUUACUUUGAUACAGUAUAUAUGUGUUCAUCCUUUAUUU